AUGGAGAUUGCAAAUCAUAAUAUUAUUGUGUGCAACGUGCGGGGUCUCAACAACGCAGCUAGAGGGGCUGCCAUGAGAAGCUUGGUGGAUGACGCAUCGGUGUCGGUAGUGUGCCUUUUGGAAUCCAAGCUGGAGAGGGUGGAUCAGCGCGUGAUCCACUCGCUGUUGGGGCUAAAAUUUGACGCGUUCGUCGCCCUUCCUGCACAUGGCACGGCCGGCGGAAUCAUCGUCGCAUGGGACUCCACGGUGGCCACAGUGCCCGCGUUCCGGAUCGAUCAAUUUUCUGUCAUGGUGGAGAUGGUUUUUGGGGAGGGAAACCAAUGGACACUUACCGCAGUUUACGACCCAAGCGACGACACGUUGAAACCUCUGUUCCUUGAUGAGCUCCGGGCUAUCAGGGCGGCUUGUGUGCGGGGCCUUGGGCAGUGGCGGGAGAUUCAAUCUCAUUGUUGA
rnacentral:rRNA from 1 species